rnacentral:rRNA from 1 species
AUGUUGGAGAAAGACAGGAUAUCCUAUUUCUACGAUGGGGAUGUUGGCAAUGUGUACUUUGGGCCAAAUCAUCCGAUGAAACCGCAUCGCCUUUGCAUGACACAUCAUCUCGUGUUAUCAUAUGACCUUCACAAGAAAAUGGAGAUAUAUAGACCCCACAAAGCAUAUCCAACAGAGCUUGCGCAGUUCCAUUCUGCUGAUUAUGUGGAAUUCUUGCACCGAAUAACUCCUGAUACCCAGCACUUGUAUGCAAAUGAAUUAACUAGAUACAACCUUGGAGAGGACUGCCCGGUCUUUGAUGAUUUGUUUGAGUUCUGCCAAAUCUAUGCUGGAGGAACUCUAGAUGCGGCUCGAAGACUAAAUCAUAAAACAUGUGAUAUUGCUAUUAAUUGGGCUGGUGGGCUGCAUCAUGCAAAGAAGUGUGAGGCGUCAGGCUUCUGCUACAUUAAUGACCUGGUUUUGGGAAUUCUGGAGCUUCUCAAGUAUCAUGCUAGGGUCCUCUAUAUUGACAUUGAUGUCCAUCAUGGAGAUGGAGUUGAAGAAGCCUUCUAUUUCACUGACAGGGUAAUGACUGUAAGUUUCCACAAGUAUGGUGACAUGUUCUUUCCUGGCACAGGUGAUAUUAAGGAUAUGGGAGACAGGGAAGGAAAAUAUUAUGCAAUCAACAUCCCACUUAAAGAUGGCAUAGAUGACAUCAGUUUUACUCGGCUUUUUAAAACGAUUAUUGCCAAAGUUGUUGAGACAUAUCUGCCAGGUGCUAUUGUUCUUCAAUGUGGGGCUGAUUCAUUGGCGCGAGACCGCCUAGGGUGUUUCAAUCUUUCAAUAGAAGGCCAUGCUGAAUGUGUAAAGUUUGUUAAGAAAUUUAAAAUCCCGCUGCUGGUGACAGGAGGUGGUGGGUACACCAAAGAGAAUGUAGCACGCUGUUGGGCUGUUGAAACUGGGGUUCUUCUAGACACAGAACUCCCAAAUGAGAUCCCUGACAAUGAAUACAUUGAGUACUUCGGUCCAGAUUAUACAUUGAAAGUGCCAAAUCUGAACAUGGACAACUUGAAUAGUAAGACGUAUCUCAGUUCAAUCAAAGUGCAAGUAAUGGAGAGUUUGCGGGCCAUACAACAUGCACCUGGCGUUCAGAUGCAAGAGGUUCCACCCGAUUUCUAUGUCCCGGAUUUUGAUGAAGACGAGCUGGAUCCUGAUGAACGUGUUGAUCAGCAUACCCAAGACAAGCAGGUUCAUCGUGACGACGAGUACUAUGAAGGCGACAAUGACAAUGAUCAUGAUGACGGCGGACAUUGA